rnacentral:rRNA from 1 species
AAUCAACGCUGGCGGCGUGCCUCAGACAUGCAAGUCGAACGCUGCUGUUCGCCUUCGGGUGGACAGCGGAGUGGCGCACGGGUGAGUAACACGUAGGUAAUCUACCUUUGGGUGGGAAUAACAGCCGGAAACGGCUGCUAAUACCGCAUAAUGCAGCGGCAUCACAUGAUGACAGUUGUUAAAGCGAGGGAUCGUAAGACCUCGCGCCUGAAGAGGAGCCUGCGGCAGAUUAGGUAGUUGGUGAGGUAAUGGCUCACCAAGCCUGCGAUCUGUAACCGGCCUGAGAGGGCGGGUCGGUCACACUGACACUGACAUACGGGUCAGACUCC